CUCUCAAAAUCCAUCUCUUUUAAUCUCUCCCUCAGACUAAUCUGACACUCAUCUCUCUCUCCCUCUUCGAGUCUCCGUCUUCUUCUGCUCCUCGGCGAGUGGCGACUGGUGACUGCUUGGUCGGCUCCUCGCGACCUUGCCUCCUCUUCUCAAUUCUCAUCACCUGGAGUUCUGCACUUCUGCUAUUCUGGGUGACUGGAUUCAUGAUAGUGAGGAGAACUGGAGAAAUUGCAAAGAACUCAUAAGCUGAUAAGCAAAGGAUCUCUCGACCUAUUUCUCUUCCCAUAUCCUCCAUUUUGGAUUUGAAUCGUUAUGGGUCUUCCACCUCAAGCCAUAGAGUUUUCUGGGUUCUAUGGCCACCUAGAACCAACGCUGUUGGGAUGCUUAUAGCUCUCCGGAGCCUUCAUAUGUAAAUGAUCUAAGAAGCAGGAGUAGUGGCUUAUAUUGAAUGGUCGCAGCUCAGAUGAAUGGAUUGGGUCGCGUUUAUGAAGAUAUGGCAUCCAGCAGCACAAGCUGUAAUGGAAGUUGGAACUCUUCCUGCCCCAUGGAUUGGUGGUAUUGAUAUGGGGAUGAAAAGGACAAAAAAUGGAGGGACCAAAAAAUAAAUAUGUAAAUAAUUUAAUAAAAGUUUAAUAAACAUAUUUCAUACA